UCGCAGGCCGCGCAUGCGCCAGUGUGUGUCUGUGGGAGAGGCCUCCAGCCCCGGCUGUUUGCGCGUGCGCGCCGCUGCCCCGUCGCUAGGGACGCCGCUCAGCACUUUUCCGACGACCACCCUCCAAUUACUAAAUCUCCGGAGGUCCGACUUCUGGGGCAGCCAGUGAAGCGGAACAGAGGCGAGAGGCCUCAGUUUUUGUAGAGACGAAGUCUUGCUACAUUGUUCAGGCUGAUCUCCGACUCCUGGGUUCAAACGAUCCUCCCAUCUUGGCCCUCCAAAAUGCUGGGGAUUAUAGGCAUGAGCAGUAGCACCUGGCCAAGAAUCUUUAAAGAGACAGGGUCUCGCUAUGUUGCCCAGGAUGGAGUGCGGUGGCUAUUCACAGGUGCGAUCCCACUACUGAUCAGCAUGGGAGUUUCGACCUGCUCCGUUUCUGCUGGGCCGGUUCACCCCUCCUUAGGCAACCUGGUGCUCCCCCGCUCCCUAGAGGUCACCAUAUUGAUGCCAAACUUAGUGCAGACACCCGAUCAGCAUAGCACACUACAGUCCAGAACUCGUGGGCUCAAGCGAUCGUCCAGCCUCAGCCUCCCGAGCAGCUUGGACUACAGGCACGUACCACCUCACCUGGCUGAGCACCUUUUCAUAUGCUUAAUUGCCAUCUAUAUAUCUUCUUUAGUGAGAUUAUCUGUUAAAAUUUUUUGCUUAUUUUAAA